rnacentral:rRNA from 1 species
AGGGGUUUUGAUCAUGGCUCAGGACGAACGCUGGCGGCGUGCUUAACACAUGCAAGUCGAACGCUGAACCCGCUUCGGUGGGGGAUGAGUGGCGAACGGGUGAGUAACACGUGGGCAACCUGCCCCCGGCUCUGGGAUAACUCCAAGAAAUUGGGGCUAAUACCGGAUGUUCACUGCUGGCCGCAUGGUCGGGUGGUGGAAAGGGUUUCCGGCUGGGGAUGGGCCCGCGGCCUAUCAGCUUGUUGGUGGGGUAGUGGCCUACCAAGGCGACGACGGGUAGCCGGCCUGAGAGGGUGACCGGCCACACUGGGACUGAGACACGGCCCAGACUCCUACGGGAGGCAGCAGUGGGGAAUAUUGCGCAAUGGGCGGAAGCCUGACGCAGCGACGCCGCGUGGGGGAUGACGGCCUUCGGGUUGUAAACCUCUUUCAGCAGGGACGAAGCCUCACGGUGACGGUACCUGCAGAAGAAGCACCGGCCAACUACGUGCCAGCCAGCCGCGGUAAUUACGUAGGGUGCAAGCGUUGUCCGGAAUUAUUGGGGCGUUAAAGAGCUCGUUAUGCGGGUUGGUCGCGUCGGCUGUGGAAAACCCGGANCUCAACUCCGGGCCUUGCAAGUC